CUUUAUAUACAUUAUUAGUGCUUUAUUUAAAUUAUUACACUAUUGAACAUUAUAUUUGUGUUUUUACUUCAGUUUUACUUAGGCACACCUUUCAUUCUGAAGAAAACAAACUUAUAUACAUUUUCAAGUUUAAUAGGUUUAUUAGAAAAUAAUAAUUGCCGCAUUAUCCUGUAAUGAAAACAAAAUCUAAUUGUUUCUGGAUCUAGGCGCUAGGGGCAGAAUUCUGCCAUCUGCUGGUUAAAGAAAAUCCUGUAGGAAUGACUAAAAGUCAAUUCUUAUAACUCAACCCUCCAAACAGAUGCAUUAAAUGAUCUUCGACAUAAACAGCAAAUAACUUGCAUGUGUAUGCGCUGAUCAGUUCUGAACUGUCUGCAAGCGCAGUGUCAGAUUUCAGCUACGCGCGUCGUGCGCGAGUAAUUAGAAUGCGCGUGAACGCAGCAUUUUAAACUUCAACCGUUACGGACGUCCGUUUGAGCUCAGCGCUCGAGAGGACGACGAUUAAAUUGAAUCAAAAAGAAGAAAUGUGGUUUACGGUGCUGUCCGGGCCUGCGCUAUUCUCCGCCAGGAGAAAACACAUAAGAAAACGAUGUUUCAGGAGCAGUCAAAUCACGUGAUCACUGUACACCCAGACUGUUAUAAAGAUGAAUUCAAGAGAAACCCCGAAGAACAAAGAGAGGAGGUGAUGAAGAUGCUUCUUCUGUGGAUAUAGCUAUGCAUUAGGAAGAUGAAGAAAAGACCUUCAACUGCAAACCAAUGACACAAAAAAAAAUUGACUCUGGAGUGCAGCAUUACUUCAGUAAGAUGAAAAUAACACACCUGUAUGAUUCAAGAUGUCAGGCCCCCUGAACGCAAAGAGAGUCAGCAUCAAAAUGGACGUGCCCCUAAUUGAAAACACAGAGAUGUCAAAAGUAUCUGUUGGCUGUAUACUUUUUGUUCAAUAUGGAGCAUCCAAAUGCCAGUUUCUUUCAUUCAGCACUAUUUAGCCCUUCUCAGUACUGAAUUUGCCGCCAUGGGUCAUUUGUUUUUAUUGUUUAAAUGCUUAUCUGAAUAUUAAAUUAUCAUUUAACGCUCAUGAAUU